AUGCACUGUAUGCGACUAGUGCACAUCGCUGCCAUGUCUGCACACCGCGUCGAGAGCGGUGGCAAGCGACGCCGAGAACGUGGCCAUGGCCUGGAACACCGCCGGCAGCGUCCUCUGCACGCCGGCGACCGCCGAGGACCUGGUGGCGUCGAUGGCCAUGGCGUGCCUCUUCAUCUCGCCCUCGAGCUUCCUCCGGCACGCGUCGAUCUCCUCCUUGCGCUGCACCACCUCGUUGUGCGCGUGGUGCACCUGUCGCAUGUCGUGGUCCAUCCAGUGCCUCCCCCGGUUCCACAGCGCGAACCCCGCCGGCGCGUACGAGUCGUAGUGGCUCUUCUCCACCUGCCGCAGCAUCCGGGACUUGCGGUCCAGCUCGCGGGUGCACUGCGCGACGCGGCGCGCCGCCCGAAGCUCGUCGCCCUGGUGCGCGUACAGCGCGUGGGUGGCGCCGGCGAAGUUCUUGAUGGACUUGAGCACCUCGGCGCAGUGCACGCCGUCCAGCGCCUGCCUCCACCGGUCGACGAAGGCGGCGAGCUCCGCGGCGACGGGGGAGGCCGGGGCGCCGUCCGUCGGCGCCAGCGUCAGCUUGAGCCAGCCGUGCAGGGCGGCGACGUAGUCGCGCUGGUGCUUGGCCAGGUGGCCCAGGGCGGCGCACCAGGCCGACAUGGCGGCCUCGAGCGCCCGCGUUGCCCCGUGCUGGAUCUCCGUGGUCGCGUCCAUGGACGUCCGGCCGCUGAGCCCGCGCAGCUGCUGCGCGAUCAGGCCCUGCGCCUCGUGGUGCUGGCGCAUGGCCUUCCACAUGUCGCGCGUGGCGUGGCAGAGCCCCAGCACCUGGCGCGCGAGGUGGGUGUCCCGGAGCUCGGAGAUGGCCGCGGAGCUGGCGUGCGCGGCCUCGGACGCCGUGGCGAGCUGAGCGCGCGCCCUGUCCCACGCGCCCUUGAGCUUCUGGAUGUCCACGUUGACCUUCCUGCUGUACUCCUGGUCCCGGAGCGCCGUCAGCUUCUUGUCGUGAUGGAUCUGCAGCCGCUCCCUCGCUUUCACCUCCUUGUACAGCUUCUUCUCCCAGACCAUGAGCUGCUGCAGUGUAGAGCUAUGCCGCUUGCCGAUCCGGUCGUGCAUGCUGUCGAUCCGGUCGUGCGAAACAGACGGCGACGACGACGACGAAAUGCAGCAAAGCACGCCAAAGAAGCUGCUCGGUACACCUGCAGAAUAUUUCACAUGCACUGUUAA
rnacentral:rRNA from 1 species